UUAGCUCCCCAAAAUUUUGCCAAUACUCCGUAAAACAAAGCCCUACCUCCCAAAUCAGAUCUCAGAUCCGCUCCUCUCUCUCACUCUCUUACUCUCCGAUCCCUUCUCACCCUCUCACUCAGACGUCGCCAGCCUCCACACUCCCUUCGCACUCUCUCAGAUGUAGCUCCACCGCGAACCUCCUCCACCGCCACAGCCGCCACAGCUGCCACCGCCUCUCCUGCGAAGACGCCGACGCUGCCACCGCUUCUCCUGCGAAGACGCCGACGCUACCACCGCCUCUGCCCCAGCCCUCAUCGUCCAGGUUCGUUUUUUUUUUUUCUUUCCUUUUUUAUAGUUAAUAAUAUGUGUGUUUUAUUGUUGUCUUGACAAGAUUUCUCCAGCCCAGAUGACACACUGCUGGUGCCAUCUCCUCCUCCCCCUAUCUGCAGCUUAUAUACCAGGUUGGUUAGAAGAGAGGCCGGUUGACUCUUGAAGAUGAAGAUGAUGAGCAACCAAAGAAGGUAGGCAUGGGGGUACCUGCUACACAGUGGAUCAGUGCUUACAAUUCUCACAGGCCUAAAAAACAAAGGUAUCACUACAAUGUGUGUGACGCAAGACUUCCCCAACACAUAGAUAAAGGAUACUAAGAUGGCCUGUUUAUAAGCAGUGUAGCAUCUGCCAGUAAUUUGUGGGUGUUAAUCUUGGAUGCUGCUAUUGGCUUUACACAUCAAGUGCAUGAACUUUCUCCUUCCUUUCUUCACAAGUGUCGAUAAUGGAUUCCCAGUCAUCACUUUUGUUUUUCAGAAUUAACUUAAGUUGAUAGUUCAUCCCCAUGAGUAUCUUUUCAAAGUUCAGUAGUUGCAUUACACUUCUUCGGCCCGGGACAAAUAGGGUGAACUCAUUUGAUCCCUUUACUGCCUUCAGUUUAUUCCUCUUUUAUUUCCUUACUUUCCAUAGAAUUGCAUUUCUAUUUUUGUUUAAAGAUAGGUUCUUCACUGAUAUUGAAGUUGCCUGAAAAAGAUGAAGCUUGUUUCUUGAAGCAUCCAAUAGAUGAAGAGUUCGAGAGUUUGUAUAGUAUUCUGAUUAGUAUCACAAACUUGUAUUGUAAUGAAACUACUACUCGGUUUACAAUUGCUAUUUGCAUUUUAAAUUAAAUUCAUAGAGCA